rnacentral:rRNA from 1 species
GAGCGGCGAACGGGUGAGUAACACGUGAGUAACCUGCCCCUGACUNUGGGAUAAGCCCGGGAAACUGGGUCUAAUACCGGAUACGACACCUCCCGGCAUCGGGUGGGUGUGGAAAGUUUUUUCGGUUGGGGAUGGACUCGCGGCCUAUCAGCUUGUUGGUGGGGUAACGGCCUACCAAGGCGACGACGGGUAGCCGGCCUGAGAGGGCGACCGGCCACACUGGGACUGAGACACGGCCCAGACUCCUACGGGAGGCAGCAGUGGGGAAUAUUGCGCAAUGGGCGAAAGCCUGACGCAGCGACGCCGCGUGGGGGAUGACGGCCUUCGGGUUGUAAACCUCUUUCAGCAGGGACGAAGUUGACGUGUACCUGCAGAAGAAGCGCCGGCUAACUACGUGCCAGCAGCCGCGGUAAUACGUAGGGCGCAAGCGUUGUCCGGAAUUAUUGGGCGUAAAGAGCUCGUAGGUGGCUUGUCACGUCGGGUGUGAAAGCUUGGGGCUUAACUCCAGGUCUGCAUUCGAUACGGGCUGGCUAGAGGUAGGUAGGGGAGAACGGAAUUCCU